GACGAACGCUGGCGGCGCGCCUAACACAUGCAAGUCGAACGAGCGAGAGAGAGCUUGCUUUCUCGAGCGAGUGGCGAACGGGUGAGUAACGCGUGAGGAACCUGCCUCAAAGAGGGGGACAACAGUUGGAAACGACUGCUAAUACCGCAUAAGCCCACGGCUCGGCAUCGAGCAGGGGGAAAAGGAGCAAUCCGCUUUGAGAUGGCCUCGCGUCCGAUUAGCUAGUUGGUGAGGUGACGGCCCACCAAGGCGACGAUCGGUAGCCGGACUGAGAGGUUGAACAGCCACAUUGGGACUGAGACACGGCCCAGACUCCUACGGGAGGCAGCAGUGGGGAAUAUUGCACAAUGGGGGAAACCCUGAUGCAGCGACGCCGCGUGGAGGAAGAAGGUCUUCGGAUUGUAAACUCCUGUUGUUGGGGAAGAUAAUGACGGUACCCAACAAGGAAGUGACGGCUAACUACGUG
rnacentral:rRNA from 1 species